AGGCCUAACACAUGCAAGUCGAGCGGUAGCACAGAGAGCUUGCUCUCGGGUGACGAGCGGCGGACGGGUGAGUAAUGUCUGGGAAACUGCCUGAUGGAGGGGGAUAACUACUGGAAACGGUAGCUAAUACCGCAUAACGUCGCAAGACCAAAGUGGGGGACCUUCGGGCCUCAUGCCAUCAGAUGUGCCCAGAUGGGAUUAGCUGGUAGGUGGGGUAACGGCUCACCUAGGCGACGAUCCCUAGCUGGUCUGAGAGGAUGACCAGCCACACUGGAACUGAGACACGGUCCAGACUCCUACGGGAGGCAGCAGUGGGGAAUAUUGCACAAUGGGCGCAAGCCUGAUGCAGCCAUGCCGCGUGUGUGAAGAAGGCCUUCGGGUUGUAAAGCACUUUCAGCGGGGAGGAAGGCGGUGAGGUUAAUAACCUCACCGAUUGACGUUACCCGCAGAAGAAGCACCGGCUAACUCCGUGCCAGCAGCCGCGGUAAUACGGAGGGUGCAAGCGUUAAUCGGAAUUACUGGGCGUAAAGCGCACGCAGGCGGUCUGUCAAGUCGGAUGUGAAAUCCCCGGGCUCAACCUGGGAACUGCAUUCGAAACUGGCAGGCUAGAGUCUUGUAGAGGGGGGUAGAAUUCCAGGUGUAGCGGUGAAAUGCGUAGAGAUCUGGAGGAAUACCGGUGGCGAAGGCGGCCCCCUGGACAAAGACUGACGCUCAGGUGCGAAAGCGUGGGGAGCAAACAGGAUUAGAUACCCUGGUAGUCCACGCUGUAAACGAUGUCGAUUUGGAGGUUGUGCCCUUGAGGCGUGGCUUCCGGAGCUAACGCGUUAAAUCGACCGCCUGGGGAGUACGGCCGCAAGGUUAAAACUCAAAUGAAUUGACGGGGGCCCGCACAAGCGGUGGAGCAUGUGGUUUAAUUCGAUGCAACGCGAAGAACCUUACCUGGUCUUGACAUCCACAGAACUUUCCAGAGAUGGAUUGGUGCCUUCGGGAACUGUGAGACAGGUGCUGCAUGGCUGUCGUCAGCUCGUGUUGUGAAAUGUUGGGUUAAGUCCCGCAACGAGCGCAACCCUUAUCCUUUGUUGCCAGCGGUCCGGCCGGGAACUCAAAGGAGACUGCCAGUGAUAAACUGGAGGAAGGUGGGGAUGACGUCAAGUCAUCAUGGCCCUUACGACCAGGGCUACACACGUGCUACAAUGGCAUAUACAAAGAGAAGCGACCUCGCGAGAGCAAGCGGACCUCAUAAAGUAUGUCGUAGUCCGGAUUGGAGUCUGCAACUCGACUCCAUGAAGUCGGAAUCGCUAGUAAUCGUAGAUCAGAAUGCUACGGUGAAUACGUUCCCGGGCCUUGUACACACCGCCCGUCACACCAUGGGAGUGGGUUGCAAAAGAAGUAGGUAGCUUAACCUUCGGGAGGGCGCUUACCACU
rnacentral:rRNA from 1 species